rnacentral:rRNA from 1 species
AUGGAUUACAAUUGCAAAACUGAUCUUGUUGUGAACAACCUUAGUGAGGUUUUCAACAAAAUGAUCCUUGAUGUUAGGGCCAAACCAAUUAGGACUAUGUUUGAAGGAAUUAGGACUAAGCAGAUGAUCAAAAGGCAGAAGACUAGGGAAAAAACAGAGAACAGCAGGUGGAUGAUCACACCCAACUAUUCAGAGAAAUUAGAGGAGAAUAAGAAGUAUGCCAAAUUUUGUGAUGCAUACAAGGCAGGUCCUGACAUUUGGCAAGUUAAUAGUAAGGAAAAUCAGUACUGUGUGAACCUAGCUACUCACUCAUGUGACUGCAGGAGGUGGGACAUGACAGGUGUGACAUGCAGUCAUGCAAUAGCAGCAAUGAGC